rnacentral:rRNA from 1 species
UUAAGCGACUAAGCGUACACGGUGGAUGCCCUGGCAGUCAGAGGCGAUGAAGGACGUGCUAAUCUGCGAUAAGCGUCGGUAAGGUGAUAUGAACCGUUAUAACCGGCGAUUUCCGAAUGGGGAAACCCAGUGUGAUUCGUCACACUAUCAUUAACUGAAUCCAUAGGUUAAUGAGGCGAACCGGGGGAACUGAAACAUCUAAGUACCCCGAGGAAAAGAAAUCAACCGAGAUUCCCCCAGUAGCGGCGAGCGAACGGGGAGCAGCCCAGAGCCUGAAUCAGUGUGUGUGUUAGUGGAAGCGUCUGGAAAGGCGCGCGAUACAGGGUGACAGCCCCGUACACAAAAAUGCACAUACUGUGAGCUCGAUGAGUAGGGCGGGACACGUGGUAUCCUGUCUGAAUAUGGGGGGACCAUCCUCCAAGGCUAAAUACUCCUGACUGACCGAUAGUGAACCAGUACCGUGAGGGAAAGGCGAAAAGAACCCCGGCGAGGGGAGUGAAAAAGAACCUGAAACCGUGUACGUACAAGCAGUGGGAGCACGCUUAGGCGUGUGACUGCGUACCUUUUGUAUAAUGGGUCAGCGACUUAUAUUCUGUAGCAAGGUUAACCGAAUAGGGGAGCCGAAGGGAAACCGAGUCUUAACUGGGCGUUAAGUUGCAGGGUAUAGACCCGAAACCCGGUGAUCUAGCCAUGGGCAGGUUGAAGGUUGGGUAACACUAACUGGAGGACCGAACCGACUAAUGUUGAAAAAUUAGCGGAUGACUUGUGGCUGGGGGUGAAAGGCCAAUCAAACCGGGAGAUAGCUGGUUCUCCCCGAAAGCUAUUUAGGUAGCGCCUCGUGAAUUCAUCUCCGGGGGUAGAGCACUGUUUCGGCAAGGGGGUCAUCCCGACUUACCAACCCGAUGCAAACUGCGAAUACCGGAGAAUGUUAUCACGGGAGACACACGGCGGGUGCUAACGUCCGUCGUGAAGAGGGAAACAACCCAGACCGCCAGCUAAGGUCCCAAAGUCAUGGUUAAGUGGGAAACGAUGUGGGAAGGCCCAGACAGCCAGGAUGUUGGCUUAGAAGCAGCCAUCAUUUAAAGAAAGCGUAAUAGCUCACUGGUCGAGUCGGCCUGCGCGGAAGAUGUAACGGGGCUAAACCAUGCACCGAAGCUGCGGCAGCGACGCUUAUGCGUUGUUGGGUAGGGGAGCGUUCUGUAAGCCUGCGAAGGUGUGCUGUGAGGCAUGCUGGAGGUAUCAGAAGUGCGAAUGCUGACAUAAGUAACGAUAAAGCGGGUGAAAAGCCCGCUCGCCGGAAGACCAAGGGUUCCUGUCCAACGUUAAUCGGGGCAGGGUGAGUCGACCCCUAAGGCGAGGCCGAAAGGCGUAGUCGAUGGGAAACAGGUUAAUAUUCCUGUACUUGGUGUUACUGCGAAGGGGGGACGGAGAAGGCUAUGUUGGCCGGGCGACGGUUGUCCCGGUUUAAGCGUGUAGGCUGGUUUUCCAGGCAAAUCCGGAAAAUCAAGGCUGAGGCGUGAUGACGAGGCACUACGGUGCUGAAGCAACAAAUGCCCUGCUUCCAGGAAAAGCCUCUAAGCAUCAGGUAACAUCAAAUCGUACCCCAAACCGACACAGGUGGUCAGGUAGAGAAUACCAAGGCGCUUGAGAGAACUCGGGUGAAGGAACUAGGCAAAAUGGUGCCGUAACUUCGGGAGAAGGCACGCUGAUAUGUAGGUGAAGUCCCUCGCGGAUGGAGCUGAAAUCAGUCGAAGAUACCAGCUGGCUGCAACUGUUUAUUAAAAACACAGCACUGUGCAAACACGAAAGUGGACGUAUACGGUGUGACGCCUGCCCGGUGCCGGAAGGUUAAUUGAUGGGGUCAGCGCAAGCGAAGCUCUUGAUCGAAGCCCCGGUAAACGGCGGCCGUAACUAUAACGGUCCUAAGGUAGCGAAAUUCCUUGUCGGGUAAGUUCCGACCUGCACGAAUGGCGUAAUGAUGGCCAGGCUGUCUCCACCCGAGACUCAGUGAAAUUGAACUCGCUGUGAAGAUGCAGUGUACCCGCGGCAAGACGGAAAGACCCCGUGAACCUUUACUAUAGCUUGACACUGAACAUUGAGCCUUGAUGUGUAGGAUAGGUGGGAGGCUUUGAAGUGUGGACGCCAGUCUGCAUGGAGCCGACCUUGAAAUACCACCCUUUAAUGUUUGAUGUUCUAACGUUGACCCGUAAUCCGGGUUGCGGACAGUGUCUGGUGGGUAGUUUGACUGGGGCGGUCUCCUCCUAAAGAGUAACGGAGGAGCACGAAGGUUGGCUAAUCCUGGUCGGACAUCAGGAGGUUAGUGCAAUGGCAUAAGCCAGCUUGACUGCGAGCGUGACGGCGCGAGCAGGUGCGAAAGCAGGUCAUAGUGAUCCGGUGGUUCUGAAUGGAAGGGCCAUCGCUCAACGGAUAAAAGGUACUCCGGGGAUAACAGGCUGAUACCGCCCAAGAGUUCAUAUCGACGGCGGUGUUUGGCACCUCGAUGUCGGCUCAUCACAUCCUGGGGCUGAAGUAGGUCCCAAGGGUAUGGCUGUUCGCCAUUUAAAGUGGUACGCGAGCUGGGUUUAGAACGUCGUGAGACAGUUCGGUCCCUAUCUGCCGUGGGCGCUGGAGAACUGAGGGGGGCUGCUCCUAGUACGAGAGGACCGGAGUGGACGCAUCACUGGUGUUCGGGUUGUCAUGCCAAUGGCACUGCCCGGUAGCUAAAUGCGGAAGAGAUAAGUGCUGAAAGCAUCUAAGCACGAAACUUGCCCCGAGAUGAGUUCUCCCUGA